CGAAGAAGAAAAGGAAACGUCACAUCCGGUGACGCUGAGCGUAGGAAUCGCCGAGCGCCAAAGUAAAUGUACUCAUUUGUUGAUUGAUUAAACAAACAACUAAGUUUUCCGAUGGGUACGACUGGAGAAAUUAUCAUCCUCAGUGAUGAUGACGACUGUGAAGACGUAUCACCCAAUGAACUCUCGGUUUUCAUUGUGGAGGUGGAGGAUGUGAAGAAAAGUGAGUGUGCUGUACCUCCCACCGCUCUGGAUGAAGACCUGGUCAUCACCUUCUCCCGCAGCGCUGAGGUCCUUCCUCACGCACGCUACGACUGUCCCAUACAUCCCUUCACGGCUACAGAUUGUGAGGUCUCUGUUCCUGUUCCCAAUAACCACCUCAUGUGUGAUCAGUGCUUCUGCUACAUCUGCGACAAGCUGGCCUCAUCGUGUAAGUGGUGGUGUUACAGCGGUUUGUGUCACUGCAACAGCCACAAGAAGAGUGACUUUUGGAACAACCACAGAAACUGUGCGCUGCUGGGAGGACUGAAGACUUUUAACCUCACUUUGUCUGAAGUAGACUCUCACCUCCGAAAUGCAGAGACGAUGCUGCAGAGCUUCAGACAGGAGCUCUCCACACUGUACCAUGUCUUCUUGAAGGGAAGAGUGCUGGAGGAGUGCGGUCCGAGCCAAUCACGCAAGAAUUGCCGCAUCUUUGAUUACACUCCUGUGUACGAGUAUGUGUCAUCCUUCCUGAACAAAGCAGAUCAACAGGACAGCCGAGCUGCUGCCAUCAUGAUGCUAGGAGCCACUGAGGACUUUAUUAGACAUUUUCAAGUCUCAGGGACUUUCCUUUUACAGUCUCCCACUGCUGAUGCUGCUAAAGCCAGACUACUGUUAUUGCAGCGGGUCAUAAUGGCUAUGCAGAGACAGAUGGUGAUGGCUGAUUUCCCGACAGGGUUCCAAAACAAACUGCACGAUUUUUACAAGCGGCUGUAUUUCCCCACUGAGCUGAAGAGCGUGAAAAACAGUCUGAAUGUCCGUCCUUGGGAUGAUGUCCUGCUGGUGUCUGUGCUGAAGGGGCAGAACGUGACGGGUUUCCGCAAAGACAAAGGCAAGAAGGACUUCCUAGUUGAACAGAUUUCUGUAGUUCUACUGAGAACAGAACUACUACAGCGACAGCACAGAUACAAAGAAUUGUGCCGCUACCUACGCGUUGUCGAGACGGACAAUCCCGUACUCUUCCAACAGGUGCAGGACCUCAUCCCGUUCUUCAUGUGCAUGAUGGGGGACUUGCCGUCCGCUCUGGGCAGUUUGCUCCCCACAGUGAACCCCCCCGCCUCCCGCUUCACGCCACAACUCUUCCUCUUCUAUCUUCUCGUCUUUCAAACGGCAACGGCACCAAAGCUGGUGGUCCUUCAGUCAUCAAAGCUCUCCUUUGAUACAGCGUGGGAGCCGAUUAAAGAUGCUGUGCCGCUGACUUGUGUCACUCUGGUCAGGUUUGCUCUCAGGGUUCAUAGAUGCUGCCCUGCUGUCUACGCUGAUCCUCAGUGUUGGGCCAGUUUAAUCAAUGUCGCUAACACGCCUAAAGCUCUGCAAGGACCGAGCCCAAAGUUUCUUCUCGAAGCGAUGGGUUUUGUGAGCUCAACCCUUCAGGACGAGUACGGGUCAAACAUACAGAUCCCACGAUUCUUUAUGGAGGAGUACCCAGAUCAGGCCCUGUUGCUGUUGGUAACGGGAGCUUUGUGUUUGAGAAUCCUCGAUGCUCCUCUGAAUCCGGCCUUCCCGGUGCUCAACGCGUUUAAGGAGAACGUGUGGGCUCUCAGCUGGCUGUGGGGCACUUUGUCCUCCAGCCCCGAACGCUUCAACUCCUUCCUGCUGGAGUUCUCCGAGGAGACGGAAAACUUGACAGAUGGGGAUACUUUAUUACCCCUUCUUCCUGCCGCUGCACACUCAGUCGUUUCAAGUGAGGACCAGUGAGCACCACAACCCUUUGAGCUUAUCCUCCGAUCACUGGUUCCAUUUGCGCAUAGAUCAACCAGACUCCUGAUUCCUCGCUGAUGUUUCUGUCCAACACAAACUCCCGGUGCCUGGCCCUCGGCACAGUGGUGAGGGAGGAGCCACAGGAAAAUGUGUCUGAAGUUUUAUACAGACGCUACAAUGUGUCUGACGAAGAGACUCUUAACAGAUCCUCAGUGUUAUUCAGCAUUAAUACGACUUUAAAGACACUUUAUGUUGACUACUUCGGAUCACAGUUCCGUUUGCUAAAUGGUUUUGAAUUUAAUUCUGCACUAAAGGAUUUUUUUCCUUUCAAGUGAGUGAUGCUUAUUUUCAUGACUUUGUGGAACUACUCGAAUAUAUUCACUUUUGUUACAAAUGCCCCAAAGAGGUCAUUAUGUUGGAAAAUAAAUGGAAAAUAUGACUUUU